UGCUUUACACAUGCAAGUCGAACGGCAGCAUGAGAGAGCUUGCUCUCUUGAUGGCGAGUGGCGGACGGGUGAGUAAUGUAUCGGAACGUGCCCGGUAGUGGGGGAUAACUACGCGAAAGCGUAGCUAAUACCGCAUAUUCUCUACGGAGGAAAGAGGGGGAUCGUAAGACCUCUUGCUACCGGAGCGGCCGAUAUCAGAUUAGCUGGUUGGUGGGGUAACGGCCUACCAAGGCGGUGAUCUGUAGCUGGUUUGAGAGGACGACCAGCCACACUGGGACUGAGACACGGCCCAGACUCCUACGGGAGGCAGCAGUGGGGAAUUUUCGACAAUGGGGGGAACCCUGAUCGAGCCAUCUCGCGUGUGGGACGAAGGCCUUCGGGUUGUAAACCACUUUUCUCAACGAAGAAAAGUCUUAGGCUAAUACCUUAAGAUGCUGACGGUAGUUGAGGAAUAAGCACCGGCUAACUACGUGCCAGCAGCCGCGGUAAUACGUAGGGUGCGAGCGUUAAUCGGAAUUACUGGGCGUAAAGGGUGCGCAGGCGGCUUGGAAAGAACGGUGUGAAAUCCCGGGGCUCAACCUCGGAACUGCACUAUUAACUGCCAA
rnacentral:rRNA from 1 species